UACGGGGGAUGCAAGCGUUAUCCGGAUUUAUUGGGUUUAAAGGGUGCGUAGGCGGGAAAAUAAGUCAGUGGUGAAAUCCUACAGCUUAACUGUAGAAUUGCCGUUGAUACUGUUUUUCUUGAGUAUGGUCAAGGAAGGCGGAAUGUGUAAUGUAGCGGUGAAAUGCUUAGAUAUUACACAGAACACCAAUUGCGAAGGCAGCUUUCUGGCCCAUUACUGACGCUGAGGCACGAAAGCGUGGGGAUCGAACAGGAUUAGAUACCCUGGUAGUCCCU
rnacentral:rRNA from 1 species